rnacentral:lncRNA from 1 species
AUAUUUGAACCAAUAGCAAAAUGUUCAUUUAUUUAAAUAGGGAAAAAUUGCCCUUUUUUGCAGAGAGGAGAGAAGAUUGCAUCUUUGAUUUGAGGAGCAGAAGGCUUCUUUCCUGCAGAGAUGGAGCCUUUCACAACAACAUUCCAAAAUCUUUCUCAGAGGGCAACGAUUCACUCUUAAAGCACAAGGGCAUUAGAACUGCAAAUGUAGCAGAAAACAAGGGAAGAAGAUGACUGGGAAUAUGGUGGUUGCUUUUUCUCCUUUUGAUGUAUACAUGUACACACACACUUAAUUUUUAAGUGUUAUUAUAAACAAUUUCUGAUUCAUGGCAGUAUGAAACAGUUAACCUGCAACAAUCUUUGACUAAUGUAAACAUGAAUAUAAUCUUACUGAGCUGGGGUUUAUUUCCUUCUGCUUUUGACUGUCACUCUGAAUUCAUACUUCUGGAAAAAAAAGUUGAAAGAUUCGUAAGUAACCUUACUCUUAUAAAAGGUCUUUUUGUUUCAUUUGAUAAGACAGUUUACACGGUGGAAAUGUGAGCGUUUCACUCCUAAUUUUUUCAUGCAGUGUUCGGUCAAGAAUAAAGAUGAUUGCUGU